rnacentral:rRNA from 1 species
GAAAAGAAACCAACAGGGAUUGCCCUAGUAACGGCGAGUGAAGCGGCAACAGCUCAAAUUUGAAAUCUGGCGCAAGCCCGAGUUGUAAUUUGUAGAGGAUGUUUCUGGCGACGUGCCUUCCGAGUUCCCUGGAACGGGACGCCAUAGAGGGUGAGAGCCCCGUACGGUUGGUUGCCUAGCCUCUGUGAAACUCCUUCGACGAGUCGAGUAGUUUGGGAAUGCUGCUCUAAAUGGGAGGUAUACGUCUUCUAAAGCUAAAUACCGGCCAGAGACCGAUAGCGCACAAGUAGAGUGAUCGAAAGAUGAAAAGCACUUUGAAAAGAGGGUUAAAUA